AUUUCAAAAACUUUAAAAAAUUGGAGCAACUUUUGAAUGAAUAUGCAGAACAAAUACAGGAGCUGUGUCGUCUUAACGACAUAUGCCCAAAAGGAAACAAAGGCCAGAAAAAGAGAAUAAAGGAUGCAGCAAAGAACUCAGAGAGCUUAUGGAAACUGAAGAUCAGUCAUUUGAUGUCUCAUCUAUACUCAGUAAUAUAGAAUCAGCAACAGAAAUGAUAAAGAAAACAAUCGAAGAACUAGAAAGCGAUUCUGAUCCUGUCCAGCCAUGCAGUGUCAGAAGUAUGCCCCGAGUUCUAUGUGACACUAAAAAGAAAAUGAUUGCAUCUGGUAAGUUAAGCAGCUUUGAUGUUUG